rnacentral:tRNA from 1 species
GCGGCGAUGGUGAAAUUGGUAGACACGCUAGCUUGAGGGGCUAGUGGGAGCAAUCCCGUGGAGGUUCAAGUCCUCUUCGCCGCA